rnacentral:lncRNA from 1 species
GCUAGAACGGGGAUUAACCAGGGAUUUCCCUCGGUGGACAGCGCCACCUGGGGCCCAAUUGAUAGAACUUGAGUCCUGCUGGGGAUUCCACUGCCGACUUUCACUUCCUAUGGGAACUCCACGCAGCUCUGAGCUAGGCCCUGGGGAUAAAGAAGGCUUUCGGACAUGAGGAGGGAAAGGCCACAGAGACUAGCCACUCAUGAUGAGACGCUGUGACCGCAGAAAGUCCAGGGCAGAGGAGGGUCUCUGAGCCUGCGGAACCACGGAAGGGAAGGAUUACCUUCGUUACAACUCUCAUUGACUUAUCUCUGGGCCAGGUCCUGUACAGGCCAUGGGAACCCUCAGGCAAUCCAUUACGACUUGAUGGUGAAAGUGCCUGUUUGCUAUCCCUGCCUUGGAGCCAGCCAGUUAUGGACUGAAACCUCUACAAACUGGAAAGGACUGCAUAAAGGUUUACGCACCUGGAGGCAGGAGGAAGGACUGACUUUGAGUCUGUCUGUCAGAACUAUCUCAAAAGCUCCCAGGAGGAGAGCUGCCUCCAAUGAAGAGGAGGUGAACCUUCCAGGCCACCAUACCACCACCCCCUAGUGCCGAUGAGGUCAGCUGCAUGGGCACCAGUAGCACACAUUCCUCCCCCCCGACCCCGUUGCAAUGAGAAGGCACAUAAAUAAGUCUCAAAACCAGACUUCCAGAUCACCUAAAGCAACCCCAAAGGGCAAUGAGAUGAAACAAUCUGAUACUCAACCACCUGGACUCUCUGAACUGGCAACAAAAGAGGAUCUGGAAGUAAUGAAAUUAGAAAUAAUUUCUCAGAUAACAGUAGAGAUUGUGCCCAUAGUGCAAGACAUGAUUAAUAAAUCUAGACAGGACACAGAUAAAAAAAAAAUAGAGGAGCUGAGGAACAUGAUGGAAAACAUAGGAAAUAAAUGGAAUCCACAAAACAGAUGCAAACAGAUUUCCGGGAGAUUAAAAACUCCAUUGAGAGUUUACACAGCAGAAUGAGCUAAUGUGAGGACAGAAUUUCAGAUAUAGAAGAUAAGAUUGCAAUUAGUGACCAGGAAAAGAAAAAUUUCUUGGGCCAGUGAUUUAGCUCAGUG